UGUAUGGUUUGUAUUCAAAGCAAUGUAAAACAAAAUCUAACAAGAACUUUUGAAAUGAUAAAAACUAAGACACUCUUCCACUAACAGCUAGACAUAUCAUUAUACACACGUACAUUAUAUACAAAUGUUCUGCACAGGCCAUGUACACACACCCAGAGUUUAUAUAAUAUAGACCUAAUUCUGUUUGAACAAAAUUGCUUUCAGUGCAAGAAAUCAUUUAGCUAUUGGAUAAGAUAGAAAAAUACAUAACAUAGAGUCAGACACAGACAAUAUGUACCAUUUUGAGUCAGGUUCACUAAAGGUGUCCACCCUGACUUAAGAAAAAGGUAUUUUGGUUGGAAUGGUUACUACUGUGCUUAUAUCAAGCAAUAAUGAACCAGAAGAUGCCUAGUGACAGUUCAGGGUACUGUAUUCUCUCAUAGCCAGCAAGUUUGUGGUUAAAGACCAGGUUCUCAGCUACCUGAACUGAACUGGGAAUUUAUAAAUUGAAUAAAUUUGAAAUUGAAAAACUCCUUCUCUUUCUCACCAGAGUCCAAUAAAUGAGGCAGUAUGAAGGUACCUUGGAGAGGGAGAACAUUUGAGAAUCCUCACUACCAGGUCUCAAACAAUUUAAACAUAUCAUCAGUAAAGGUCUGCAGUGUUUUGAAGUCCUUCCACUAACAUGUGGCUGGUUACAAGGUGCCAACAUUCACACGCCAUGUGGUUCAGACAGUAGUACACACAGUACAAUAUCAGUUACAGAACAGCCCACUGCACCUAAGCAAGCAAGUAAUCAGUUCCACAGAAUUUACUGAAGAUAAACAGCUCGGACAAGACUUGGGGAUACAGCCGAUUGGUGUAACCUGUACUGAUAAGCAAAUUGCAUGUCAUUCAGCAUUAACUGAAGACUCACUAAAGGUUACAGUUUUAUUAUUUUUAAGAUUCUGAAUAUAUUUAAACUAGAUUGAAUCAUUUAUAAGAAAGCCUAAAUUUUGAACUCAUUAUGAAUACUGUGCUUAUACAGCAUACUUGAACAGUAGUUUAAAAAAUACUAACUUUGCACACCUACAGUCCCUGAUGCAUCAAGUACUGUAAGUGUCACAGUCCACUUCUAUCAUCUCCCACAACCUCAGCUGGCUUCAGCCUCACCUAUCACAAAGGAUGUAUAGUUCCAGGACAUGUGAUGAUACAGUGAACUCAUCUGAGCAAACUUGGUAAAACACUUAAUACUGAAGACCAAAGUGAUUUCAGUGAGUCAGCGCAUUGAAGUUUCAGCCUGUUAAAUCACUAAAGACAUACAAUAUACUGUACCAUCAGUUUUGUAGAGCUUAAACUGAAAGUUUUUUAGUAACCAUUAUUAAUUUUUUUAAUAUUUACAUUAACUAAUUGCUGCAAGUUUCUACUGUUUUCUGCCAUGAAUGUUUUAUAUUUUGGGUUUACAAUUUACCAACAGCCAUGAACAUGAAAGAAUUCUAUAUUUAUUUGUAUUAUAUUCUUGCAGAUGAAGAAUAUUAAGAAAUACCACGUAGUUAAGUAAUGGGUUAGCCUUAGUCGCCCAUGGAAGCGCCUCAUGGGAGGGUACAAAGGGUUCGUUCUGUAUGAAUGUUUCUUUAAACUGACGACACUCACACCUGCACGCCACCUAGUAGCGGCAACAUCUCUAAACUCCACACUUUCCUUCAAGAUUGAUUACAUCUUGUUUCACUGGCUAUCUCUCUUCCCCCUAACUUCUAUCUUUAUAUCUAGGUUUUUCGUACUUCCCUAACUCCUGCUUUAUCUUCUUCCAUGAUACUUGCUCAGGCAAUUCUUCUGCUCACACAUUUUACUCAAGCUAUUUCAUAUUUUUUUAUUUUAUUUUUUGUAUGUGUGUGUAAGCAGAUAGCAACCAUCAUGUGUAAAUCUUCAGCUAUAUUUCAGGCAUUGGUGUUGAUUCUUUGACACUUUAAACACAAAGACUAUAACCUUGUUAUCUGAGAGCCACUUUUAAACACCAAGACUAUAGUCUUGAUGUUUAAAAGCUGCUCUCAUAACACCAAGGCCCAGAGCCUUGGAACAUCAAGACUCUAUAUAUAUAUAUAUAUAUAUAUAUAUAUAUAUAUAUAUAUAUAUAUAUAUAUAUAUAUAUAUAUAUAUAUAUAUAUAUAUAUAUAUAUAUAUAUAUAUAUAUAUAUAUAUAUAUAUAUACAGUAUAGCUUUGAUGUCAGAGUAGCUUUCACAGGGUGUAUAACAGCCUUGAAAAACCUUGAAUUUACCACAUUUUCAGGAAAAAAUGGAACUUUGGUUGCAUGCUUGAGAAUGUAUGUAUGUUUUAUCUGUUUUAGGUAUGCAAGAUAAAAAAAUUUUUUAUGAUUUAUUAAAAUAAUCAUUUUGUUUUAUAAUAAAAUUAACCAAAAACUUGAAUUUUGAUAUUUUUGCCUUGAAAUUCAAUUAUGCUCAGCUUUUAUACACCAUGUGUCGAACACCAAAACCAUAGCCUUGGUGUUUUAGAGCAGCUUUUGGACACCAAGACUAUAGCCUUGGUACACCAAAACUAUAGUCUUGGUGUUUUAUAGCAGCUUUUGGACACCAAGACUAUAGCCUUGGUACACCAAGACUAUAUAGCCUUGGUACACCAAGACUAUAUAAUCUUGGUGUUUUAGAGCAGCUUUUGGACACCAAGACUAUAGCCUUGGUAUACCAACACUAUAGUUUUGGUGUUUUAUAGCAGCUUUUGAACACCAAGACUAUAGCCUUGGUACACCAAGACUAUAUAGCCUUGGUACAACAAGACUAUAGCCUUGGUACACCAAGACUAUAGUCUUGGUAUUUUAUAGCAGCUUUUGGACACCAAGACUAUAGCCUUGGUACACCAAGACUAUAGUCUUGGUAUUUUAUAGCAGCUUUUGAACACCAAGACUAUAGCCUUGGUACAACAAGACUAUAGUCUUGGUAUUUUAUAGCAGCUUUUGGACACCAAGACUAUAGCCUUGGUACACCAAGA
rnacentral:lncRNA from 1 species